rnacentral:rRNA from 1 species
UACGUAGGGUGCAAGCGUUGUCCGGAAUUAUUGGGCGUAAAGAGCUCGUAGGCGGUCUGUUGCGUCGGCUGUGAAAACCCGAGGCUCAACCUCGGGCCUGCAGCCGAUACGGGCAGACUAGAGUUCGGCAGGGGAGACUGGAAUUCCUGGUGUAGCGGUGAAAUGCGCAGAUAUCAGGAGGAACACCGGUGGCGAAGGCGGGUCUCUGGGCAGAGACUGACGCUGAGGAGCGAAAGCGUGGGGAGCGAACAGG